GGCGCUGUGGCAUAGUAAGUAAUGCUGUCGCCUGCAGUGCCAGCAUUCCAUGUGGGCACCGGUUUGAGUCCUGUCAGCUCCU
rnacentral:tRNA from 1 species